rnacentral:lncRNA from 1 species
AUUCCACUGUAAAAUCUAUUUCUUAUACAAAGUCUGGUUCACCUUGUUGUGCUUCAAGUUUCUGUUCUGCAAUAUGUGGUCAAUGACAGUCAAUGCUUCUCCUAGCUUUGUUGGGAAUAAAUGGAGAUAUACUUAAAAUUAUUAGAAGCUUUUUUGGCACAUAGCAAGGGUUUUAUAAACUUAAUCAUAAUCAUUUUUGUUAUUACAUAUUUCUAUGUUCUUAUAAUGGUUGUUAUUCUAAAACAUGUAGCUUAAGAUUACCCUUUUCUUAAUUAUAUCCCUAGCUAGAGAAGAAGCCAGAGUCAGCUGAAAACUAAAUACCUUUUCUAGUUAAGGACAGAGAGAACCCUAGUCCUUCAGGCAUGCUUGAGGUGGGAAUGAAUUAUCUCUCUCCUGUGGUUGUGUGCCUGAAUAUCCCAGAGGACUGACUGAAGAGAUAUUAGUGACCUGCAGUUUAUACUUCUUGAUUAUAAGACCAAAAAAAAAAAAAAAAAAGAAACCUCCUUAUUUUUAUUUCCCUAUCAUGCAUGUAAAUAAACAUGUCUUCCCAACAUUUAUCUUUGCACUUCUUCGUUUAUCAGUCCAUCUCUCUAGACCUCACCUUUUCUAGUGAUUUCCUUCUAGGUCUUGGCUUUGGGAAGAUGAUGAUGUGCUCAGUGAGCAUCAAUUUGCCCAUCUCUCUUAGAUCCAAUUUAGGCAAUGUGCACUUCUUGGGGGCAGACCAAAUGGCUGGGGAAGUAGCUUUGUUAUAAUUGGUUGUAUUGACAGCCCGUCUAGAACAUAUAUAGAGCAUCUCCAGGGCAGCAAAGCUGUAAUGUAAGUACUAAAUACUCAAGGCCAGCUGAAGUCCAGUUAGCAAGUACUCUUAUCUUUCACCCUCUUGAAGCACUAUAGACCUCAACUCCAGUGGAACCCCAGCUUCAUCUUGCUUUUGCUUUUAAACACUUGCCUUACUUCUGUUUCUGUGAUGUUUUUGCAUCUUCGAAGGAUGCUCAAUUGGGAGUUAGUAUUUUAGCCUGGGAAUCUACUGUUUUCCUUGUCUUUGUAUUGCAAAGAGACCCUAACAUCUUCCCCUAGAGGAGAAGAGAAGAAUUUAGUUAAUGUAGGUCUUUAGAUGUAUUACCUUGCCAAACAUAGCUAUAAGUGAUUUGAGAGAAAGUCAUUACUGUCUUUUUAAAAAUUACUCUCCAGAUAUCUCUUAACAGAGAAUAGAGUGACCAUAGCUGUGACUGGAAUCAACAGAUCUGCAUCUCUUUCCCCAGGACCUCUUAAUAUGCAAUCAAGGAUAUAAAUAUAAACUUAAGGGCUGUCAUUUACAUCUUAUCUGAGAUAUCAUUUCUGAAUGGGCUUGGAUAGCAAGAUAAUACAUAGCCCUUCACUGCUAGUAUUCAAAUGAAUCAUAAACAGCCUUACUUUUGGAACAAAGUCCACUUAGCUACUUACCUUUGUGUUGGGCUGCUGAGAACACAAUCCAUGCUCUUUACUAUUGACUCAGAAAUAUUGCCUACAUAUUCAAGAUUGCAAAAUAAUGAAGGUGGACAAGCCUUCUUCCUCUCAGUUUGGUUGACCUGCUUUGGAAUGGAGAAUGAGGUGUGAUUUCCAACUCAUAACAUGAUUAAUUCAAACUGACAAAGGAAGGAAAUUAAAUUUUCAGGUUGCCAUUCAUUACUUUUCUCUUAUCAAGCAAUCAACAAUAUUUAUUGAGCUUAGACUCUAAGCUCAGCAUCAAAACAGGAACAAUAAGCAUAAUGUAGGUUCUUUGCUUUUACUAUUUAAUUGUGGUGAUAAUGUAUGACCCAAUAGAAAAAUAGCACUUGACUUACAAAAAGGAGUUCCGAGGACUUGGCACAUUUAGCUCAGUAUUUAAGUGUGGUUGCCCUGCAAUUCAGCCUUUGGAGCUAUAAAAAUUGAGAACCUUAUUAAUGUACUGGAAAACCCCAGGAACAUGCCAUACCCAUCCUUAAUUUUCUUGUCUAUAAAUACAAAGUUAAUAACAGUACCCAAUUUAACUGAUUGGUUGAGACCUUAGCUAGCAUUGUACCAAGGACACAGUAACAAGAUAUUUUGCUAGUUGAUAUUUCUUGAUUGUAUUUGAAAGUUCUUGGGAGAGAAAAGACAUCUGAAGUUACCGCUCAUGUAUUAUAUGCUUCAUGCAUUCAUGGUGAUACCAUUUGGGUGGCUCUUUACUCUUGCGUGCACCUUGACUUGCCAGCAAGAAGACGCUGCAACAGGAUCCUUCUGCACACAUUUAUUGGGAGAGCUUGAUUGCAGAGGCAAAGAGACCCCAAGCCCAGAACUGGUGCUGCUUAUAUAGGCCUAGGAGAGGCGUGUCUCACACCCGGAUUGGUUGUGCUUGGGUUAUGCUUACCACCUCAUUUGCAUGCCUACAUCUGAUUGGUUAACUUCUCUCUCAUCUGAUUGGUUAAUUUUGGUUAAUUCUCAAAACCUCAUCUUGAC